GAAUCACCAAGGCUGGAAAAGACCUUUAAGAUCAUCAAGUCCAGCCUAUGACUGACAUGACCACAUCUCCAAAACCAUGGCACUAGGUGCCACAUCCAGCCUUUCCUUGAACACAUCCAGGGACGGUGCCUCCACCACUUCCCCAACUAUGAAACAUCCCCAUUAGCUCCUGACCCUGCUUCUAGUCUCCCAACUCAAAAUGGGUCUGUUUGGGGGGGGCUUGAAGAAAGACAUUAACAGUGAACAUGGGCUUUGGUGGGUGCUGUUUCUUGAGUAUAUUCUGAUUUGUUUUUCAUUCACUCCCCCAGGACACAUCAUGAACACAGUCCCUGCUACCUCAAAUUCCACGGUCCAGUUUCCCACGUGUUGGUAAAUCCACGGGGUCCGCAUGCCCAGGGUGCAAGAAGUGGAUGGGAAAACCCAAUUGCCUGUUUCCUUUUGCCAGGUAAGAGGAGCCCUGGCCCUGCUGGAGGGAUGAUAUCUGUUACUUGCUUGGCAUCACCACAUGGGGCAAACUGUGCCACCUCUUUCCUGAUUUCCUAUGGACCUGGAAAAGCUUGACUGCAAUCACACACACCCUUUCCCAAGCAGAGCUGAGGCCUGACUCUGCCCACACAACAACGUGCCCUCGGCCACACCGCUUGGAAGCUGCACCAGCAGGGAACAGCCCACCAGACCAGGCAGAAGCAAGCAAUGUGCUUUGGACCCGACGCUGUGCCAGUCCUCCCGAGUGACUUCAGCUGAGCGGUACGAGAGACAUGGGAUCGCUGGUCCAGGUGAGCCCCAGCACAGCACCACUGUCCUCUUCAUUGCAAGCAAUAAUGUAAGCAAGAGAAGAAAAGCUUGGCUUGGGGUAUUGCUGAAGCAGGAGGCAAAUGUGAAGCUGUGAUGUUUGAGGCCUGGGUGAGCCUGUUCCUGAAUCUCCUCAAACUCUGGCCCCAGAGGAGCCUUCAUGCUCGCAGCUCUGCCUCUGUCCUGUCUCUCUGCCUUUCUCCCCCAGCAAA